CUCAGAAGGAGGGUCCAGUCCAGCUUCGACACAUGGGGUUUUACUGGCUCUCAGCUUAGGAAUCCACUCUGAUGGUCCCAAGAUUUCCCCUUGAGCUUGGCAAGCCUGUAAUUUCUGCACUUGCACAGACAGCAAAGUAAAAGCAUUUUGCAGCUGUUGGAUUUUCUCUGUAACUAACUUGUCCUUGAAAGGAAUCUUGAGUUCUUCAGAGGCAAUAAGUGGCAAAGAAUUCUCCUCCCUAUGAUAUUUAGCCGCUUCCUCUUCCAGCUGCUCAGUCGUUAUCAUCGUCUCCUCCUCCGGGCAUGGUGGCUCAGACACUGCUUCAGUAUUCAGAGGCCAGACUGCAAGAGCAGGCACCUUGGCUUUGCCAGAGCAUCCUGGAUGGGUGCUGCUUCCCUGUAACCCAUUUUUGAUCCCAGCGGCGGUGCCUCCUCAAUGCCUGCCCCAAAUGUUCUGGGUUCCCAAAUGAAAGACAGGCACAGCCUUUAUGUUUUGGUAAUGCCUAAAACAGAUCAAUGACUAGGCCACUUCCUAAGCUCCACAUGGCUCAUCCACCUCCCUCUGAUAUUCCCAAGUUAUUUCUUACUAAAUCCUAUAUUCCAUCUUUGCUGCUGUAAGGCAACCCUCAUAGGGCCGCUCUCCCCGAUGGCCGCUAUGCUCUCUGCCCUGCACCCUCUCAGGCACGGCAGCUUCCCUCCCCCACCUCUCCUGCCAUUGCGGAUCUCCUUCCUUUCCCUCAGUCCCUCACCCGGGAAUCCUAAAGGUCCCGCCUCUGUCUAUCCUGCCCAGCCAUUGGCUGCCGGAAACUUUAUUUACCAAUCAGAACCAAAUGAGGGCAUGGUCCCUUAGUGUCUUACACGUGGAUUCUAGUACAAACCCAAAAUAACCUGAUACACGGAGCCACAGCUAGAUUUACUGUACCUUCCUCAGGAAACCAAGGACAACCCCCCCCCCACAAAAGCUAAGAAGUCAGGUGGUUGCCGUUGCCCUUCUUUAGCCCCACGAGUGUGGAGCAGUUUCUUAAGCAUUUGUAUAGAAAGCAUAGGGCCGUUUCCAUUUCCCAUUUUUGUUUCUUUUUUCUUGUGUUUUCACUUUUUUCGAGUUCCUUUACUUUUCCUGAGCGCCCUUAUCUACUCCAUCCUGUCUUUGCUCCUGAGAGAGUCUCACCGCACAUUCGCCUUUUCUGAGCACUUGCUUUUUCUGGGGUGUCCACCACUUGAUCCCCAAACUCUCAGAGCGUCCCUGUUUGAGCGCCACCUGCCGGUGGGAAGUGGAACAGUCCUCUGAGGAGGGAGUGAGGAUGAUCCUGGGAAAGCCGGAAAGAAGACUCAGAGACAGGAGUUAGAAUUGGGAAGGCUGCAGAUCACUACCACGUCAGACUUGAGUUUACGGUUCUUGGUCUUUUUAUGCUUUACAGCGCGGUGGGAAACAAGGUCAUAUGCUAGGUUUGUUCCCAUCAGGAAGCCUCCCUGCUCCUUUCUAUAAAUUUAACAGAACGUUCAGCCCCUCUUCCCAGGCCAGGAAACCUGCCAGCAGACGCCGACCUGCCCUGACUCUGCCUGGCAGGCCGACUUUCCCAGAAGCAGACAAAUGGCUCCCGACGCUCUCGGGAACCAGAUCUUUCAGCAAAUAACAUUUGAUCGUUUUAGCUGUGGUGAGGAGUCUAGCUUAUGACCUUGUCUUUGAACACACAGGAGGAAAACAGAUCCACCCUUGGCCACAGCCCCCACACUGUGCAAGCAGGAGCCAGUGCCUGUAGCCCUCACUUUCUGCAGUGCGGGCCCUGGGGACUGUUGGUAAUAGUGUUCAGCUGUGACUCUGGAUAGAACAAGCUCGAGGCUCUGCUUCUGAGUUCCCAGAAGAACCUCCAAGUACAACAGAAGUGCUCUUAAUUAACUCCACUUCUGAGUCCACGGAGCCUCGAGUCUCCAGCCCUCUUGGGAGCCGCCUGCUGCAGUCCCGCAGGUGGCCGGCCACUGCCUUGUGUUUCCACUCCUGAUACCGAGCUCCAGUCAGUGGUAGCCCACCUCAGAUGUCUGGGUGCACCUUCUGCUGCUGAUUGUGAGUUUAGAGCCCCAACCACAAAAGGGCCAAGGGUGUGGCUUGAGAGUAUAAUGUUUGCCUGGUGUUCCUAGCACUUCAGCAGACAGACAGAAAAAGAGAUAAUUAUGCAGAAAUUGAAAUCAAAUGCUUUACAAGGUGGGUUGCUCAUCAAAAUUGCUUUUAAAUUUAACUUGAUCAUGUCUGCAGAGAUGGUUCAGUGUGUAUAUCACUUGUAUAGCUUGGGUCUCAGCACCCACGUCUGUCAGCUCACAACUGCCUAUAGCUCUGGCUCCAAGGGACCCACCCAAUGCCUUCGUCGUAUACAGACAAAUAAUGAAAAAUAAAAGGAAGUCCUUUACUUUUAAAUAAAAAUUUGAUCAGAAAAAUUAUUAGGUACUGGAGGGAUUAAAAUGAAGAUGAGUGAGCUUAAAUUCCUUCAUACAAGUAUCUAUGUGCCCAUCCCACCUCUAACAUCUAAGCUGGAAGCUGGGCAGGUGGCUCAGAGAGGUAGAGAGCUGGUCUGUUAUCAGGUAGGGGCAUUGCCUGUUUGUGGCAUCUGUUGGGGAAAACCUUACAAAGAGCAUUUAUAAUUUGUUGUACUGAAUUAGGUGGAGAUUAUAUACUAGAUAAAGCUCUUUUC
rnacentral:lncRNA from 1 species